rnacentral:misc_RNA from 2 species
AACGCACCUUGCGCUCCUUGGUAUUCCGAGGAGCAUGCCUGUUUGAGUGUCAUUAAAUUAUCAACCUCUUCAAGAGGCUUGGAUUUGGAGUGUUGCUGGCAUAUUUUUGUUGGCUCCUCUUAAAUGUAUUAAAGCUUGUAGGCUUUGGUUUGAUAAUAUCUAUGCCAUCGCUGUAAUGCAAAACCACCUUGAAAUUUGACCUCAAAUCAGGUAGGACUACCCGCUGAACUUAA